UUUUUAGAUUAUUUAAAUUUUGUGCUUUAUUUGAUUUAAAUGUUAAGUGUGAUGAAUUGUUUUAUUUAAGUGUUGUUAUUUUAUUUAAUUGUUUAUUUGUUUUAUUUGAUUGUUUGUUAUUUUAUUUAAUUGUUAGAAAUGUUUUGGUUAAUUAAUUUAAUAAGUGAUUAAUUGUGUAACAUGUUAUCUUACUAUUUGUGUUACAUUUUAUUUAAGUGUGACAAAUGAGGUAUUUAUGUGAGCUAUGGUGGAAUGCACUAAGGUGCAUGAUAGAUAGUAAUGCACCCUAGUAAUUUAGUGUGUGCUAGUGCAUGGUAGCAUGGUGCACAUGUGUAGAUUUUCUACACAUUUUAGGUUUCCUUAUUUUAGAUUUAAUUGAGUAAUUUAUUUAUAAAAAAAAAAAGAAGAAAAGAAAAGGGAAAUGAGGAGUGGGCGUGUGACCUAGUGGGAAUGGAAUAUUUCCUUAAAAUGGUGAAAAAAAAAUCAAGACUUGAAGACCAUGAUCAUUUGGGGAUAGGCAUGAUCAUAUCUUAUCCCUUUGUAUCUUUUUGAAAUAAAGAAAAAUCAAGGAAAAUAAAAGAGAAAUGGAAACUUACCUUAAUAUUGUUUGGGGAGACUUUAUGAGAGGAUUUGUGAUAAAGGGGCUAAGAAAGGAGAGAAGAGCCAUUGCUCUUGUGUGUGUGUGUGGCUGCCGUGACCUAGAGAGAGAGAGAGAGAGAGAGAGAGAGGAAGAAAGAAAGAAAGGAAGAAGGAAGAAGAAAGUGAAGAGGAACCCCCCUAGAGCUUGAACAAGGGUGUGGAGUUUGUGGUAUUGAUCUUUUGUGUUCUUGAUUCUACAAUCAAGAGAGGUAGCAAAUAGGAUUUCUCUAUGGCACGCGUGGUGACGUGAGGAGUUCUUCAUCAUGGGGUGUAUGGCGUGGGGCAAUCCUAUGGACGAUAAAACGAUCAACGUAGAACGCCAUUUAAAUUAUGUUUUGUUUUAAGGGACUUUUUCCUAAAUUAUCAGUGGGACUCUGUUAUUUAACUUAAUUGGUUUUCUUUGAACUUUGCAUAAAAACCUAUGUUUUAUUUUAAA